rnacentral:rRNA from 1 species
UGAGGAAUAUUGCACAAUGGGCGAAAGCCUGAUGCAGCGACGCCGCGUGGGUGAAGAAGGUCUUCGGAUCGUAAAGCCCUUUUCUGCGUGACGAGGAAGGACGGUAGCGCAGGAAUAAGUCUCGGCUAACUACGUGCCAGCAGCCGCGGUAAAACGUAGGAGACAAACGUUAUCCGGAGUUACUGGGCGUAAAGGGCGUGCAGGCGGUUUCUUAAGUUCGUCGUGAAAUCGCCCGGCUUAACCGGGCGGGGCCGAUGGAUACUGGGGAACUAGAGGGCGGUAGAGGCGUGUGGAAUUCCGGGUGUAGUGGUGAAAUGCGUAGAUAUCCGGAGGAACACCAGUGGCGAAGGCGACACGCUGGGCCGUACCUGACGCUAAGACGCGACAGCAUGGGGAGCGAAC